rnacentral:rRNA from 1 species
UACGUAGGGUGCGAGCGUUAAUCGGAAUUACUGGGCGUAAAGCGUGCGCAGGCGGCUUCGCAAGUCAGACGUGAAAUCCCCGGGCUUAACCUGGGAAUGGCAUUGGUGACUGCACGGCUAGAGUGUGUCAGAGGGGGGUAGAAUUCCACGUGUAGCAGUGAAAUGCGUAGAGAUGUGGAGGAAUACCGAUGGCGAAGGCAGCCCCCCUGGGAUAACACUGACGCUCAUGCACGAAAGCGUGGGGAGCAAACAGG